rnacentral:rRNA from 1 species
CGUGUAGGCGGUGUGGUAAGUCAGAUGUGAAAGCCCAGGGCUUAACCCUGGAAGUGCAUUUGAUACUGCCAUUCUUGAGUAUGGGAGAGGAGAGUGGAAUUCCCAGUGUAGAGGUGAAAUUCGUAGAUAUUGGGAGGAACACCCGUGGCGAAGGCGGCUCUCUGGACCAAUACUGACGCUGAGACGCGAAAGCGUGGGGAGCAAACA